rnacentral:rRNA from 3 species
AUGAUUCGUGGGACGUCCUGCCGGUGGUGGCGAGUCGAAGGCGUGCUCCCGUCGUGGUUUCCACUUCGGUUCUUGUGCGCCCGAGGCGGACCCCGAUGAAAUCCUACCGCGGUGCUCUUAACCGAGUGUCGAGGUGGGCCGGCACGUUUACUUUGAACAAAUUAGAGUGCUUAAAGCAGGCCUGUUGCGCCUGAAUACUGUGUGCAUGGAAUAAUGGAAUAGGACCUCGGUUCUAUUUUGUUGGUUUUCGGAACCCGAGGUAAUGAUUAAUAGGGACAGGCGGGGGCAUUCGUAUUGCGACGUUAGAGGUGAAAUUCUUGGAUCGUCGCAAGACGGACCGAAGCGAAAGCAUUUGCCAAGUAUGUUUUCAUUAAUCAAGAACGAAAGUUAGAGGUUCGAAGGCGAUCAGAUACCGCCCUAGUUCUAACCAUAAACGAUGCCAGCUAGCGAUCCGCCGAAGUUCCUCCGAUGACUCGGCGGGCAGCUCCCGGGAAACCAAAGCUUUUGGGUUCCGGGGGAAGUAUGGUUGCAAAGCUGAAACUUAAAGGAAUUGACGGAAGG